GACGAACGCUGGCGGCGUGCUUAACACAUGCAAGUCGAACGGAAAGGCCCUGCUUUUGUGGGGUUCUCGAGGGGCGAACGGGGGAGUGACACGUGAGUAACCUGCCCUUGACUUUGGGGUAACUUCAGGAAACUGGGGCUACUACCGUAUAGGAGCUCCUCCUGCAGGGUGGGGGUUGGAAAGUUGCGGCUGGUGGGGAUGGACUCGCGGCUUAUCAGCUUGUUGGUGGGGUAGGGGCUUACCAAGGCAUUGACCGGUAGGCGGCCUGAGAGGGUGACCGGCGACAUUGGGACUGAGAGACGGCGCAGAGUCCUAUGGGAGGCAGCAGUGGGGAAUAUUGCACAAUGGGCGGAAGCCUGAGGCAGAAGCGCCGCGGGCGGGAUGCCGGCUUGUGGGGUGUAAACAGCUUCAGCUUGUGACGAAGCGGGAGUGACGGUACUGGGUAAAGAAGCACCGGCUAACUACGUG
rnacentral:rRNA from 1 species